UGCUUGCACUUCUUCUACCACAGUAUGAAUGCCAGAUUGAUGCUUGCCAUUCUCCAUUUCAAUGAGAAUUCCAACAGACAGCAGGCUAAGAACAAAGCUGGAAAAGAAAUGUGGCAGCUCUCAUUUCCAAAGGCAAAAAAAGGAGAACCAGUAGCCAAACAAGUUAAAGUCCCUUGUACUUAUGCAUACAUUGAUGAGUUGUUGGAUGAAGUAAUGGCUCGUCGGGAGGCCAUACCU